GGCGCAGCAGGACUCCCGCCGCCCGCGGGCCGUGCGGGGAGCGGCCGGGAGGGACAUGAGCCCGCCGGGCACCGCAGCGGGCGGCGGCCUCGCAGCCCGGCGGCCGCGGCGCCUCCAGCUCCCCCUGCGGCGGCUGCUCCUGCUGCUCUGGCUGCAGGCCGCCCGCCCUGCGCAGGGGCAGCGGGCUGCAACAAAUAGUUCAGUCCCAGAUGUCUGUGCCACUUGCCAUGCUAACGCCACGUGUCAGCAAAAAGAAGGCAAAAACGUCUGCAUCUGUAACUAUGGAUUUGUGGGUAAUGGGAGGACUCAUUGUCAAGAUAAAGAUGAAUGCCAGAUUGGAGCUAGCAAGAUCUGUGGCGAGCAUACAUCAUGUCACAAUACACAUGGAAGUUUUUACUGCAUUUGUCUUGAAGGAUACCAUCCCUCUAACAACAACAAGAUAUUUAUUCCCAAUGAUGGCACAUAUUGUGCAGAUAUAGAUGAGUGCCAGGUGUCAGGUCUGUGUGGUGUCGGGGGACGAUGUGUGAACACUAUCGGAAGCUACAGCUGCUACUGUAUGGAAGGAUAUAGACCAGAAAAUGGAACAGAAUUUUUUCAUCCAGCUGGGAACACUGUUUCGUGCAAAGCUGUGGAUUGUGGGGUCCCACCUUCUGUCUUGAAUGCACAUUCAGCUCCUCUAAGGCGGACCACCUAUGGAAGUGAAGUUGCUUAUAUUUGCCUACAUGGUUAUGUUAUGGAAAGUGGCAACCAGACUGCAGUUUGUAAUGCCAAAGGACAAUGGGAAGGUGCUGAUCUGGUGUGCAAAGAAAUAGACUGUGGCAGACCUUUGUGGAUUCCACACGCAGAAAUGAUCUGGGACAACUCCACAACUCUAGGAAGCAUGGUGUACUAUAAAUGUAGUGAAGGGUUUCAUUUUAGUGGAGAGAAGAAUUUUUCGCAAUGCACAAUAAUUCAGAAAUGGGAAAAUAUCACUGGUGCAUGUGAAGUAACGGACUGUGGCAGACCUCCUUCAAUCCCCAACACAGACAUGAUUUGGAACAACAUUUCCCAGCUGGGGAGUUCAGUGCACUACCAAUGUAAGAAGGGAUUCCGCAGCAUAAAUGGGAGUAAUACGUCACGUUGUAUUUAUAAUGGAUCCUGGGAAAUUCCGGCUAUAAUAUGUAAAGAAGUAGACUGUGGCAUUCCUCCACCAAUACAACAUGCUGAGCUAAUGUCGAAUCCCAGUUCGAGUCCUGGGAGUGUGGUGCAGUAUUCAUGUCAGAAGGGAUUUGAAUAUGCUGGUGGAAACAAUAUUUCCGUUUGCACAGAAGAAGGUGUUUGGGUAAAAAGCACUUUAACAUGCACAGUGAAGGCAGCCAUUGGGAAUGUGUCUAUAUUUAAUCAAACCUGUAUGAAGUGGAGAAGGAGCACUAGAGAAACCAACUUGAAGACUGUGUAUUUGUUUCACAUACAAGGGCGAAGACGGCAUCAGGAGGCAUUUUUUCAUGAAGCAGAGUUUAACUUCACAGCAGAGGAAGAGACUCCAGAGCUGUGUCUAGACCUACAGGCAGGCAUGAACUACACUGUGACCAUCACUGUAGUGUCUCCUGAGCCCUCAAGACCGGUCACUGUAACAAUCAAGACAGCUGAAGAGGAAGGAUUCGGCAAUGUUUCAGUAUUUAAUGAUACCUGUUUGAAAUGGAGGAGACGUUCUGGAAGAAUUGGGGUGAAGGAAACCUACCUCUUUCACAUACAGGAACAACAGGGAUACUUGUUGAAGUCCUCCCAUGAAAUGAUGAUUAACUUCACCACAGAGGAAGAGAACCCAGAGGUGUGCCUGCCUCUGCACCUGGGUGUAAACUACACUCUGACUAUCACUGAGGCAUCUACCAAGCUUGUGUUACAAAUCCCCAUAAUGCUCCCAGCAACUGGAGAGGAAUUGCUCAGCAAUGUGUCCAUAUUUAAUGAAACCUGCGUGAAGUGGCAGAGAAAAGUUGCAAGAGCUGGGACAAAGGAAACAUACACAUUUCGUAUAUUGGGACGAAGAUGGUACCAGAAGGAAUUCUCUCGUGAAAUGAUAUUUAACUUCACAACAGGUGAAGAGACUCCAGAGGUGUGUUUAGAGCUGAACUCCGGUGCUAACUACAUGGUGAACAUUACUACAGCAUCCUCUAAGGGGACCUCAGCCCUAAUUACUAUAGCAAUUAAGACAGAAGUAAAGGAAGCCUUCAGUAAUAUGAGGAUACUUAACGACACCUGCUUGACAUGGAGGCGAAGCAUAAGGAGCGCUGAUAGGAGAGAAAUCUAUUCAUUUCACAUACAAGGUCGACGUUGGUAUCAGAAGGAAUUCUUUCACGAAAGGGCCUUUAACCUCACCACUUACGGACAGACUCCAGAGGUGUGUCUUGAUUUGCACCCAGGCACCAAUUACACCGUGAAUAUUUCCACGGCAGCUUUGGAUCUUUCUGUGUUAGUUUCCAUGACAACUCCAAUUAUUGAUCCUCCAUUCCCAGAAAUAGAGUUUGUAACAGUACACGGUCCUGUGCCAGCACUCAGCCUACGGAAAGCAGAAGAUAGAAAUGGACCUAUCAGUUUUUAUCAAGUGAUUGUGCUUCCUUUGGCCUUGCAAAGCACAUUUACUUGUGAUUCCCUGGCUGCUGUGACUUUCUUUAGCAAUGCCACUGAGGGUUAUGUGGCAGCUGAAUUCCUGGCCAAGGAUGUUGCUGACAACAUGCUGAUCUCUCUUGGAGACCGACAUUAUUAUGGGGCAUUCUAUAAUGCUCCCUUAAAGCAGGGGAAAGAUUACUGUGUGGUACUGAGAAUUAUAAGCCAAUGGAAUAAGGUCACCUUUAAAUAUUCUCCUACAGUUUUGGAAACCCAAGCCCCAUAGCAUUGUACGAAUGAGAACCAAAAAAUGAAAAUGGCUUUUAAUAAAAUUGCAGCGUAUGCACCUGUCCAAGCUGAGUGAAAUGCGAAAGACUGAGGGAACUGUGAGGGACAUCCACUUACACUAGCCAAAUGUCAUGCCGCCUGAUCCGCAACAGGGAAUGCCGGGAGAGCAUCAGGGAAGGAGCUAGGAAAGCUGAGAUAAUGGAUGAGUACCAUUUUUCCUAAUGAUAAAUUUGGCAGGUGAGAAGUGGGAAUUCUGGAGAGAGAGGGGGCUUGGGAAAUAGCUACAGAUUGCCUGGCACUAUCAUGAAAACCUCCAUUAAGCAGAACAAAUUGUCCAUCCCUGGAUGUCUCCUCAGUGAGAGAGUGGUGUUAUUUAAUUAGCUCCAACCCAUCUGGUGCCUGUUUCAGUCUCCACUGAUUGCUUUAUGGAUUCCAUACCUCUCAACCUGCCAACGCCCAAAAUGAAAGAUACUUCGAAAAUAAUAGUGCUUGGAGCUUAAAAUGAUGUGGGAUUCAUUUCUUUAGCAUAAAUAAAGCCUUCUACAACCCCAGUUUCAUCAUUCAGCAUUUGUGGAGUGAAUAUGUAAUAAAGCCACAGUAAGUCUGCGAGGGAGGGAGGUAAAUUUGGUAUUCCAGUUAGAGUAUUUUGUAGUAUGUAGUACAGGCAUCAAAAUGGCUAGGGGUAGAAAGUUGAAAUUUGGAAUAUAAGGAACCCUAAUUGAGGGGAGAAUGCCUUUAACUGUUCUGACAACUGGUCUUGAAAAAUUCAUGGUGUGCACGCAUGUGCAGUACAUUGCUUGUGUUUUCUCUCCUAAACAUGGAAAGUGCACAGCUGUGGAAGGCUAUACUGUCUAUGUGUGCAUGACUAACUUAUCUACAUAGUGAAAAGGGCAGUAUGUAGGCUGAAGCAAGGAAUCCAUUGGGAUCUCUUGGCUCAAUCCCAGGGGACCUUGUUAGGUGCAUGAUAUUAGGGGAGGUUGCCUCAUACAGAGUGAAGUCCUGUAGGUCUGUUUUUGUUCAUUCUUUACCCUAUCUUUUAUCCUUUUAAACAGCUAGAAAAUCCCAUAGCAAAGACUAUAUUAAGUAUCAUUGAGGUUGUAUAGAAGCUCAAAAUAAAGCCCCAAACGAAGAUUGUCCCUUUGUGCAGAUGCAUCAUGACUUAGUCUUUAAUUACAUGAUAACAUACCAUUUAUCCACUGCAAUAGUAUACUUUUUUGUCUAAAACCUUCAAUAAAAUAUAUGUAAAUACCAGAGUCCAUGUUAAACCAUGCCAGUAUAACAUACUUCAUAUUAAGUAUACACCAUAGAGCAGUACUAUACUUAAAAUGUAUAUGUAUGUUUGAGGAUGUGAGAUGCAGAAAAAGAAAACAGAGACGAGAACACAUCAAAAAAGAGAGGAAAACUGAUUAAACAAGAAUUUAUAGAAAGUCUGUCCAUAAUGAUAGUUUGGAUCAUUGUGAAAAUUAAACUAGUGUAAGCACUGUAUUAAAGCUUCUUUAAAAAUUAUAAGGUGCUAAAUGUGUAUUCAAGGGUGGAGAAAACACUGUGUACUAUAUUAUUCGAGACACAGUGAGUGACCAUGUAAUUAAACACUGUAUAGGAAUCUGUAUAUGCGAAUAGGGGGCAGAGUUAAGACUGCACUUGCAACGUUAACUUUGGUAUUUCCCAACUUUUUGAAAGCUUAACCAUGCAACUUUAUAGCCCUCGCCCUGGAAGGUUUUUAGGUAUCCAUUCUUUUCUGUCCAAAAGAUGAGAGCUAGACUCUCCUCAAACCUUUCUCUUUAAUCUUAUCUUUAUAGCCUGGAGCCUUCUCAGGAAAGCUUGGUGAUCUAGCAAAACCAUAGGAAUCCAUUCCCACUGCAAUACAUUUAAAUGUUUCUUGUCUGAAUGCCUUUGCUGAUGGUGCAGGCUUGUUGAUUAAAUACAUCUCCUGGGAAAAUAGUGACAUUGGUUAUGUUUUCCCUUCCAGGUGAGGACACAAUCUUGUGCAGUUUGGGCACAAAUUGAAGAUUUAUCAUCCACUCUGCAACAUAUGACUCUUGCUGGAUUAGGGUCAGUCACUGCUAUCUGCCUUAUACUGUUCUUGUCCUUCUUGGCAGCACGUUCUUAUCUCCACAGC